rnacentral:rRNA from 1 species
AGGGGUUUGAUCAUGGGGGCUCAGGAUGAACGCUGGCGGCGUGCCUAAUGCAUGCAAGUCGAGCGACGCACACCGGAGGGGUAACCCACUGGUAUGACGGAGCGGCGAACGGGUGAGUAACACGUGAGUAACCUGCCCCACAGACCGGGACAGCCCAGGGAAACCUGGAUUAAUACCGGAUACCCUCGGGGGAUCGCAUGAUCUUUCGAGGAAAUGCCUUUGUGCUGUGGGAUGGACUCGCGACUUAUCAGCUAGUUGGUGGGGUAACGGCCUACCAAGGCGUCGACGAGUAGCUGGUCUGAGAGGACGAUCAGCCACACUGGGACUGAGACACGGCCCAGACUCCUACGGGAGGCAGCAGCAGGGAAUCUUGCGCAAUGGGCGAAAGCCUGACGCAGCAACGCCGCGUGGGGGAUGAAGGCCUUCGGGUUGUAAACCCCUUUCAGGAGGGAAGAAAUUGACGGUACCUCCAAAAGAAGCACCGGCCAACUACGUGCCAGCAGCCGCGGUAAUACGUAGGGUGCGAGCGUUAUCCGGAAUCAUUGGGCGUAAAGAGCUCGUAGGCGGUUCAGCAAGUCGGCUGUGAAAUUUCGAGGCUCAACCUCGAAACUGCAGUCGAAACUGCUGUGACUCGAGUCCGGUAGAGGAGAAUGGAAUUCCCGGUGUAGCGGUGAAAUGCGCAGAUAUCGGGAGGAACACCAGUAGCGAGGGCGGUUCUCUGGGCCGGCACUGACGCUGAGGAGCGAAGCGUGGGUAGCAACAGGAUUAGA